GUCUCUUCGGAGACAUCCAAUAAAAUUGGAACAAUACAGAAAAGAUUAGCAUGACCCUUGCGCAAGGAUGACAUGCAUAAAUUGAGAAAUGGUCCAAAUUUUA